UACCAGCACCCCGAGUGGUCGGGAGGAUUAUUGGGCCUAAAGCAUCCGUAGCCGGUCAUGCAAGUCCUCCGUUAAAUCCACCUGCUUAACAGAUGGGCUGCGGAGGAUACUACAAGGCUAGGAGGCGGAAGAGGCAAGCGGUACUCAGUGGGUAGGGGUAAAAUCCUCUGAUCCAUUGAAGACCACCAGUGGCGAAGGCGGCUUGCCAAUACGCGCUCGACGGUGAGGGAUGAAAGCUGGGGGAGCAAACCGG
rnacentral:rRNA from 1 species